rnacentral:rRNA from 1 species
AGUGAACGCUGGCGGUAGGCCUAACACAUGCAAGUCGAACGGCAGCACAGUAAGAGCUUGCUCUUACGGGUGGCGAGUGGCGGACGGGAGAGGAAUACAUCGGAAUCUACUUUUUCGUGGGGGAUAACGUAGGGAAACUUACGCUAAUACCGCAUACGACCUACGGGUGAAAGCAGGGGAUCUUCGCACCUUGCGCGAUUGAAUGCGCCGAUGUCGGAUUAGCUAGUUGGCGGGGUAAAGGCCCACCAAGGCGACGAUCCGUAGCUGGUCUGAGAGGAUGAUCAGCCACACUGGAACUGAGACACGGUCCAGACUCCUACGGGAGGCAGCAGUGGGGAAUAUUGGACAAUGGGCGCAAGCCUGAUCCAGCCAUACCGCGUGGGUGAAGAAGGCCUUCGGGUUGUAAAGCCCUCUUGUUGGGAAAGAAAAGCAGCAGGUUAAUACCCCGCUGUUCUGACGGUACCCAAAGAAUAAGCACCGGCUAACUUCGUG